rnacentral:rRNA from 1 species
CUCCGGUUGAUCCUGCCGGACCCGACUGCUAUCAGAGUGGGACUAAGCCAUGCGAGUCAACGUAGCAAUACGUGGCAUACGGCUCAGUAACACGUAGUCAACAUGCCCAGGGGACGAGGAUAACCUCGGGAAACUGAGGAUAAACCUCGAUAGGCCAUGAUUUCUGGAAUGAUUCUUGGCUCAAACCUAUAUGGCCCCUGGAUUGGACUGCGGCCGAUCAGGCUGUUGGUGAGGUAAUGGCCCACCAAACCUAUUACCGGUACGGGCUCUGAGAGGAGGAGCCCGGAGAUGGGCACUGAGACAAGGGCCCAGGCCCUAUGGGGCGCAGCAGGCGCGAAACCUCUGCAAUAGGCGAAAGCUUGACAGGGUUACUCUGAGUGAUUUCCGCUAAGGGAAUCUUUUGGCACCUCUAAAAAUGGUGCAGAAUAAGGGGUGGGCAAGUCUGGUGUCAGCCGCCGCGGUAAUACCAGCACCCCGAGUGGUCGGGACGAUUAUUGGGCCUAAAGCAUCCGUAGCCGGUUCUACAAGUCUUCCGUUAAAUCCACCUGCUUAACAGAUGGGCUGCGGAAGAUACUAUAGAGCUAGGAGGCGGGAGAGGCAAGCGGUACUCGAUGGGUAGGGGUAAAAUCCGUUGAUCCAUUGAAGACCACCAGUGGCGAAGGCGGCUUGCCAGAACGCGCUCGACGGUGAGGGAUGAAAGCUGGGGGAGCAAACCGGAUUAGAUACCCGGGUAGUCCCAGCUGUAAACGAUGCAGACUCGGUGAUGAGGUGGCUUAUUGCUAACUCAGUGCCGCAGGGAAGCCGUUAAGUUUGCCGCCUGGGGCGUACGGUCGCAAGACUGAAACUUAAAGGAAUUGGCGGGGGAGCA